CCUGGACCAGCAUCAAGUGCGACUAAUGUCGGUGCAGGGAGCCGAUCCCCCAGCAAGACCGUGGCCCCCCGCGCAGCAGGAUCCACAGUCCGACAGAGGAAAGCAACGAGCAGUGGCACACGCAGUGCAGGCAGGACCACAGCGUCAGCGGGCGGCACAGGGGGCAUGUGGCGCUUCUACACUGAGGACUCACCAGGACUCAAAGUAGGUCCGGUACCAGUGUAU